UGAGGAAUAUUGGUCAAUGGGCGAGAGCCUGAACCAGCCAAGUAGCGUGCAGGAUGACGGCCCUAUGGGUUGUAAACUGCUUUUAUAUGGGAAUAAAGUGAGGGACGUGUCCCUUAUUGCAUGUACCAUACGAAUAAGGACCGGCUAAUUCCGUGCCAGCAGCCGCGGUAAUACGGAAGGUUCGGGCGUUAUCCGGAUUUAUUGGGUUUAAAGGGAGCGUAGGCCGUUUGGUAAGCGUGUUGUGAAAUGUAGGAGCUCAACUUCCAGAUUGCAGCGCGAACUGUCAGACUUGAGUGCGCACAACGUAGGCGGAAUUCAUGGUGUAGCGGUGAAAUGCUUAGAUAUCAUGAAGAACUCCGAUUGCGAAGGCAGCUUACGGGAGCGCAACUGACGCUGAAGCUCGAAGGUGCGGGUAUCGAACAGG
rnacentral:rRNA from 1 species